CAGGGAAAAAAUACAUUUGAUUAAAUGUGGGUUUUGACACUCUUAUGUAAAUCUCAUAACCAACCAGCCAUAAAAUAAUGCAAUAUGUGUCACAACAGGUGUACAUAUAUGGGUCAUGACAGUGUUAUGACCAUAUAAUGACAGGAUAUGACACGUUAUGUCAGUUGUUAUGACAUAUUAUGAUAUGGUUAUGAGGGUGUCAUAACGUGGUAUGCCGCUGGGUGUCAAGUAAAGUGUUACCAUUGGACUUAAAUACAUUUGCACAUUGAGCACUUGUUGUCUCUCAAAUACGCUGUUACAGUUGUUGUUUAGCUAGCUAGCACAUUUUUGCCAUAUUAGCUAGAUGUGGCAUCAGACAAGACACUUCAAAACAAGAUAUGGCAUUGUCAUGGAAAUUCUACACAGGGACACUUGAAGUCAAUCUUAAAUGAAGCAUUGUUUAUUUACAGCACGCUGAAGACGUCCCAGUCAAACUUAGAUGCAUAAAGUGUCGGUCUGAAGUGAGCUUCACUGGACUAGUCCCGUUAGUUCUCUUAUAUACUGCUCACACAGACAAGUUAUAUUUGCAUGAUUUAGCUUAUUUAUUAUUCAUAAUUAAUUCAUCAUUAACGUUUGGUUCAUGCAUGUGACUGACCAAUACCUUAAGAGGCUUCCUCUCUCCAAGCUGAGACCUUGAAACUAAGAUAUCCCUUUAGUUCUCAAAACACGGUUCUGGGUGUACUGCCAAAUUGCAUACUGAUAGUGAGGAUUCCUCCUCUGCAUGUUCAAUCAGUCACUUGCAUGAGCACAGAAAUUGGUUAUUAGAAAAACACAAACAGAAAAUGUUCCAUCACAGUAUCACUAACUAGACACAACAAGCUGAAACGAACCACCUAAGAUUCCCACAUAGCAGCUUCUUGUCAAUGUUGCUAGUUAUCUGGUCAUCCAGAACCACAACUACACAUGGACUUCUUCCUCAUUGAAGCAUGCGCUUUGUUGUCGUGACCUUGUCAGCUAACCCGUCUAUGAUACUUGACUCUUUUUUGGCCUGUUAAGUAACUGUUGUGUGAUUACUACAGUCCAUAGACUGAGUUGAGUCUUUCGAAGUACUGACUCCACUGGUGUUGUUCUCUUCUGGCAAUGUGGCCAUCAGACUGGGCAUUGCUCUCCUGUAGGGGAGAGAAGAGAGGAGUGGAGAGAGAAGAGAUCAAUGAGGGCAGCAAGUAGCUUAGUGGUUAGAGCGUUGGGCUGGUAACCGAAAGGUUGCUAGAUCGAAUCCCAG
ensembl:lncRNA